rfam:Hordeum vulgare subsp. vulgare, WGS project CAJW01000000 data, contig: morex_contig_1567352
AUAGGAUUCCCUCUGUCCCAAAAUUUUGCCUUAGAUUUUUCUAGAUAUAAAUGUAUCUAGUCACCUUUUAGUAUUUAGAUACAUCUAUUUUAGACAAAUCUAAGACAAGAAUUUUGGGACGGAGCGAGUACAAC